ACGUUUUAGUUCAGUGAACCAGACAUGGCGACCGAAGACAGUUCUAUAGAUUAUUUUGUUAGAGAAAUCGAGAAAAACGAUGGUUCUGUUUUAAGAAUGUAUCAGUGUAGCAAAGGGGACGUGGGCUGUGUAGUAUGGGAUGCAGCUAUAGUCCUAUCAAAAUACCUCGAAACGGAACAGUUUUGCAGUACUCAGUCCGGUAUGAGUACGUGGUCCUCUAAGAAAAUGAUUGAACUGGGCGCAGGAACAGGACUCGUGGGUCUCGUGGCUGCUACUCUGGGGGCUAAUGUCAUAGUGACGGAUCUGGAAGACCUGCAGCCUCUUCUUCAGCUGAACAUUAGUAAAAAUCAGCAUCUCAUCAGCACAGGCUCAAUUGCAGCCAAGGUACUGAAAUGGGGAGGAAAUGUGGAAGAUUUUCUACCUCAUCCUCAUUAUAUUCUGAUGGCUGACUGUAUAUACUAUGAGCAGUCUGUGGUGCCCCUAGUGGAGACUCUGAAAGUCCUUGCUGGGCCUGAGACAUGCAUCAUCUGUUGCUAUGAGCAACGGACUGUUGGUGUCAAUCCUGAGAUAGAAAAGAGAUUCUUUGAGCUGCUUUUGCAAGACUUCCAGUCAGAGGAUAUCCCACCUGAGAAACAAGACCCAGAGUUCAACAGUCCUGACAUUCACAUUCUUCACCUGCGACGAAGAGUCAGCUGAAUUUCCUUAAUAUGCUCUAUCAUCUAUUUAAAAUACAGUAAUGCAAGAUAUGCACGGAGACGGCGGCAGAGUGCAAAAGAAAAUUGCAAACAGCGGAUGCAAACACCGGAGGCGACAACUUUUACAAAUGGAUGGAUGAAGACGUAACGUGUCUCAUAAUGAGCAGGAUGGCCAAUGGGCAUCUCUUCUCUGGGCGUGGGAACGCAGUCCAGCUUGGAUGGGAAUUUCGUCUAUCCACUUUUGGUGGGAGAUCCUUCAGUGUAGUUGUACCUAAACUGUGGAACUCUCUACCCCAGAGCCUCCGUGACAUCUCCUCUAUUUCUAUCUUUAAAUCUCUGCUUAAAACACAUCUUUUCUGAGCGCAUUAUUUGUCUAUUACUGAUUGAUGUUUUAUAUCCACUUUUGUAAUUGAGAUUGUAACUUCUGUUGAAAUGUAUACUAAUGUACUUUUUCCUGUUAAAUGUAUAUGGAGUGUAAAGUGUCCUUGAGCUUGUGGAAAGGCGCUAUAUAAAUAAAAUGUAGUAUUAUUAUUAUUAUUAUGUCUAAUUAGUAAUAUUUAAAUCAUUACGUUAUAUGCACUACAGAACUGUACUGAAAGAGAUGGGUUUGCUUGGUGUG